AUUGAACGCUGGCGGCAUGCUUUACACAUGCAAGUCGAACGGCAGCGCGGACUUCGGUCUGGCGGCGAGUGGCGAACGGGUGAGUAAUAUAUCGGAACGUACCCAAGAGUGGGGAUAACGUAGCGAAAGUUACGCUAAUACCGCAUACGAUCUAAGGAUGAAAGCAGGGGAUCGCAAGACCUUGUGCUCCUGGAGCGGCCGAUAUCUGAUUAGCUAGUUGGUGAGGUAAAGGCUCACCAAGGCGACGAUCAGUAGCUGGUUUGAGAGAACGACCAGCCACACUGGAACUGAGACACGGUCCAGACUCCUACGGGAGGCAGCAGUGGGGAAUUUUGGACAAUGGGGGCAACCCUGAUCCAGCAAUGCCGCGUGAGUGAAGAAGGCCUCGGUGU
rnacentral:rRNA from 1 species